GAUGAACGCUGGCGGCGUGCCUAAUACAUGCAAGUCGAGCGAACAGACGAGGAGCUUGCUCCUCUGACGUUAGCGGCGGACGGGUGAGUAACACGUGGAUAACCUACCUAUAAGACUGGGAUAACUUCGGGAAACCGGAGCUAAUACCGGAUAAUAUAUUGAACUGCAUGGUUCAAUAGUGAAAGACGGUUUUGCUGUCACUUAUAGAUGGAUCCGCGCCGCAUUAGCUAGUUGGUAAGGUAACGGCUUACCAAGGCAACGAUGCGUAGCCGACCUGAGAGGGUAAUCGGCCACACUGGAACUGAGACACGGUCCAGACUCCUACGGGAGGCAGCAGUAGGGAAUCUUCCGCAAUGGGCGAAAGCCUGACGGAGCAACGCCGCGUGAGUGAUGAAGGUCUUCGGAUCGUAAAACUCUGUUAUUAGGGAAGAACAAAUGUGUAAGUAACUAUGCACGUCUUGACGGUACCUAAUCAGAAAGCCACGGCUAACUACGUG
rnacentral:rRNA from 1 species